rnacentral:lncRNA from 10 species
UAGGAGUAGGGAGACUGAUCAACUACAAUGAAACCACACAAGAAAAAGUCUUGGGUUGAUGGUGCUGUUCUGUAUUUUUAUUAUGGUUGUGAUUACAUAACACUAUGUACUUAUCAGAAUUUAUAAAACUACACAAAAUCGGGGAUAUUAUAACCAAUUAAUGGAAAGAAACAUUUAAGACAACACCUUCCUCUAUGUUUACAUCAGGAUGCAUUUUUGUAAUUGAGUAUGUAUAUUAAUUAUAUUACAACAGACAACAAGUAUACCACAAAUAAUUCAACAAGUUGAAUUUUUACAUCCCAUUACUGUAAACUCACAUUCUUAAGAGGAUAUAAACGUCAUGUUAUGAACAUACACCAAUUAAAUUUUCCCUACAUAUAUCCAACAUCUUUUUAAUGUCACUUGCUUUAUUACAAUCUACACUCACUUGUUAUUGUGGCCAUUACUUUGCUGCUGCU